AGAGUUUGAUCAUGGCUCAGAAUCAACGCUGGCGGCGCGCCUAACACAUGCAAGUCGAACGAGAAAGUGGAGCAAUCCAUCAGUAAAGUGGCGUACGGGUGAGUAACACGUGGAUCAUCUGCCCUUUUGUGGGGAAUACCGCUGGGAAACCGGCGACAAUACCGCAUAAGCCCGAGAGGGGAAAGCAGCAAUGCGCAGAAGGAGGAGUCCGCGGUCGAUUAGUUAGUUGGCGGGGUAAAGGCCCACCAAGACUGUGAUCGAUAGCCGGCCUGAGAGGGCACACGGCCACACUGGCACUGAAACACGGGCCAGACUCCUACGGGAGGCAGCAGUGGGGAAUCUUGCACAAUGGGGGAAACCCUGAUGCAGCGACGCCGCGUGAGCGAUGAAGCCCCUCGGGGUGUAAAGCUCUUUCGGCAGGGAAGAUUAUGACGGUACCUGCAAAAGCAGCUGCGGCUAACUACGUGCCAGCAGCCGCGGUAAUACGUAGGCAGCAAGCGUUGUUCGGAGUUACUGGGCGUAAAGGGUGCGUAGGCGGCUUUUUAAGUUUGGUGUGAAAUCUCCCGGCUCAACUGGGAGGGUGCGCCGAAUACUGAGAGGCUAGAGUGUGGGAGAGGAAAGUGGAAUUCCUGGUGUAGCGGUGAAAUGCGUAGAUAUCAGGAGGAACACCGGUGGUGUAAACGGCUUUCUGGACCAUAACUGACGCUGAGGCACGAAAGCGUGGGUAGCAAACAGGAUUAGAUACCCUAGUAGUCC
rnacentral:rRNA from 1 species